rnacentral:lncRNA from 1 species
AGCAGUGAGUGUAAAUUUCCUAUCUAUCUGAAGUGGAAUUAUUUGCUGGAUAAAGGCACUAAAGUGUUUUGCAGUCUACACAGUAGAUCCUGGGCAGAGACUCUCACACCUUUGUAUGCUGAUAAGGAGAAUAUUAUUACCCUGCUAGUGGUCUGGCCAGAUAAGAUGUUUUGGGCGGGCAGUCUGCACUUUUUUCAAGCUCUCAUUAUGCUGCACCAGUAUCUCCAGAUGCUGUUCCCAGGGAACUAAGCUUCUUUCUCUUUAAAACUGCAAAGAGCAAUGGAGAGUUUAGGCAAAGACCACGCUUAUUCGGACUCUUCCCUGCCACCCUCUGCAGCCCGUGAGGAGUAUGCUGUGCCAGAUGUCAUCAUCACCCGCCGCUUGAGAGACCGGGAGCAGCUCCGUAAAAGAAAAGCAGAAGCCCAGGAAAAAGACUCAAUUCAAUGGGUUCUGAGGGAGCAGACAAAACGGCAAAGGAGAGGCAGAGGAACCAGGAGAGGACGGGGCCGCCAGCCAGUGGUGGAGAUCAACCCGGAGCCAGAACCAGAGCUGGACUCCCAGCCCAAGCCCCAGGAGGAGGCUGAGCCAGUGCCCUCCGAGUCAGCAGCCCCAUCUGAGCCGGCACAUCAAGAAGAGCUGCCCGUGCUGAGCUUCCAGGAUAUGGUCAGUGGGAUGCAGCCAGGAGUGGUGGAGAGGGAGCUGGCAGCCAGGAGCCAGGAUCCUGCGGGUGAAGAGGAGGUCCUGAAACCAGCAGAAGCAGAAAUACCAGAAGCUUGGAAUACUCCUCUGGAAAAUGAGCACCAGGAUAAUGAAUGCAGCACACACCUUCUAUUUUAAUUUUCUGUUUGGGUUUUUUAAAAAAUAUUUUUACUCCUGCCUGACAAACUCCAGUAAGUGUUGCAGAGGGAUUUUGACCAGCUCCUUCCCUGUGACUAAUAAAGCCCAAACUCUCCCGAUCA